rnacentral:lncRNA from 1 species
AUAUGAAUUCACAUUCUGAAUUGUAGAUUCUAAGUUCUAAAUUCUGAAUAUGAAUUCUGAAUUUUCAAAAUUGUUUUGUGGGUGAGACUCUAAUGUGAAUAGCCUUUUUCCCACAUCAUACACAAACACCUUUUUAUCAAGUUCAGAGCUAUAGUGGCGGUGUAGCCUAUCAAUGACCAUCCUAUGUAAGGACUGAGAUUUUGGCAGUAUAGCUAAACUCUCAGUCGACGAUGUUUUUGUGUGUAAUUUAAUUACAAAAGCACUCGUCAAGUUUCGGGCGAAAAUGAGUUAAAACGGAGAUUCUACGCGAUUUCCAAGUUUCACUUAAAGUGAAUAGUAACUUGGUUUUCCGAAGAGCUCAAUGCGUAGAGUUGGCUUCUGGCUCGUACUGGACUCCGUUCAUAGCAGUCUAAUAGCU